rnacentral:lncRNA from 1 species
CGUGAAUGUGAUGGUGGACACUUUGAACUAUGAGGAUGAAGGCAAUACUUUGGAGACAGCAAGGCAAAGCGUUAAAAAGAGCUUGAGCUCUCAACACCGCUGCUGAACAGAUGCACCCCAUCAGCAGGGACUUUCUACCUGGGAGGCUAAAACGGCGCUCUUUACUUUGUGCACCUGAACACUGCACACCGAGGGCGACCACCGCCCCCGAGAUGCCCAG